rnacentral:rRNA from 1 species
AGCGAACGCUGGCGGCAGGCCUAACACAUGCAAGUCGAACGAACCUUUCGGGGUUAGUGGCGGACGGGUGAGUAACACGUGGAUAACCUACCUAUAAGACUGGGAUAACUUCGGGAAACCGGAGCUAAUACCGGAUAAUAUUUUGAACCGCAUGGUUCAAAAGUGAAAGACGGUCUUGCUGUCACUUAUAGAUGGAUCCGCGCUGCAUUAGCUAGUUGGUAAGGUAACGGCUUACCAAGGCAACGAUGCAUAGCCGACCUGAGAGGGUGAUCGGCCACACUGGAACUGAGACACGGUCCAGACUCCUACGGGAGGCAGCAGUAGGGAAUCUUCCGCAAUGGGCGAAAGCCUGACGGAGCAACGCCGCGUGAGUGAUGAAGGUCUUCGGAUCGUAAAACUCUGUUAUUAGGGAAGAACAUAUGUGUAAGUAACUGUGCACAUCUUGACGGUACCUAAUCAGAAAGCCACGGCUAACUACGUG